rnacentral:SRP_RNA from 1 species
GCCGGGCGUGGUGGCUUGUGCCUGUAGCCCCAGCUACUCGGGAGACUGAGGUGGGAGGAUUCCCUGAGCCCAGGAGUUCUGGGCUGUAGUGUGCUAUGCUGAUCGGAUGUCCGCACUAACUUUGGCAUCAAUAUGGUGACCUCCCGGGAGUGGGGGACCACCAGGUUGCCUAAGGCGGGGUGAACCGGCCCAGGUCGGAAACGGAGCAGGUCAAAACUCCCGUGCUCAUCAGUAGUGGGAUCGAGCCUGUGAAUAGCCACUGCACUCCAGCCUGGGCAACAUAGCAAGACCCCAUCGCC